ACACCUCACCCCCUCGGGUUUCCGAUUGGGUGGAUUUGGGUGCUGCCAGUUACAUGGCUCGCCUUAAAAGCAUUAGCGGUUGUUGGCGUAAUAAGUUUCGUCUUUGUCAGCCGCUUCUAAUCUCCUUCGGGAUGUCUUUCAUAGACAAUUCAUG
rnacentral:misc_RNA from 1 species